UUGAGCACUCUAAGGAGACUGCCGGUGAUAAGCCGCAAAGAAGGUGGGGAUGACUUCGAAUCCUCAUGGCCCUUACGGGCUGGGCUACACACGUGCUACAAUGGCGGUAACAAUGGGACNCUNAAGGGUAAACCCUUCNCAAAUCUCAAGAAAGCCGUCUCAGUUCGGAUUGGGCUCUGCAACUCGGNCCCAUGAAAUUGAGAAUCGCUAGUAAUCGUGAGAUCAGCAUGCCACGGUGAAUACGUUCCCGGGCCUUGUACACACCGCCCAGUGCACACCAUGGGANUUGGUUUUACCUGAAGGUAGUGCGCUAACCGCAANGGGGCAUCU
rnacentral:rRNA from 1 species